CAGAUGCUGAGAUUAAGAAAGGUAAAGCGACUUGCCUGCAGUCACUAGUAAGUGGUGAAAUCAGACUGAAACCCAGAUGUCUGUUAACAGUCUACCUCUGCUGCUGAAGGAAGAGCAUUUAGGGUGAAAAGAGAAAAGGAUCAAGGCGAACUCUAGGAGUACCAGCAUUUGGGAAGCCAUCAGAGGAAAGAAGGCUAAGAAGAAACAAUAAGAGAAGAAUCAGCAAAGAGUAAUAUCAUGGAAGAAAUCCAAGGGAGGAAAGACUUUCAAGGACAAAGAAGUGGUCAACAGCAUUGAAUGCAGCAAAGAUUUCCAAUAAGUUCAAGGCAAAAAACUAUCCUUUGAAUUUGGCAACACUGAAGGCCUGGAUCCCCAUGAUAUGAUCUGUGUCAGCAGAAAAUGAGGGCAGAAGCCACAAUGCAAUGAAUUGAACAAAUGAAAAUGAGGAAGUAGAAUAAGUAAGUACAGACUCCCCCUUUUGAGAAAUUUGGAAGAAGGAAUAGACAGCAGCUGAAAAGUUAUAUGUGAAGUUAAAGAUUCUGGUUUUGUCUUUUGAAAAUGGUAGAGACUUGAACAUGGGUAUAAAUUACAAAAAAAGAUACCGGUAGAGAAAAUGAAUUUGAAAA